CGGCAACAGCUCAAAUUUGAAAUCUGGCUCUUUCAGAGUCCGAGUUGUAAUUUGCAGAGGGUGCUUUGGUGGUAGUUGCGGUCUAAGUUCCUUGGAACAGGACGUCACAGAGGGUGAGAAUCCCGUAUGUG
rnacentral:rRNA from 1 species